UGGGGUAUCGCCAAGCGGUAAGGCACGGGACUUUGACUCCCGCAUUCGUAGGUUCGAAUCCUGCUACCCCAG
rnacentral:tRNA from 3 species